rnacentral:rRNA from 1 species
AUUGAACGCUGGCGGAAUGCUUUACACAUGCAAGUCGAACGGCAGCACGGAGAGCUUGCUCUCUGGUGGCGAGUGGCGAACGGGUGAGUAAUAUAUCGGAACGUGUCCAAUAAUGGGGGAUAACGAGUCGAAAGAUUCGCUAAUACCGCAUACGCCCUACGGGGGAAAGCAGGGGAUCGUAAGACCUUGCGUUAAUGGAGCGGCCGAUAUCUGAUUAGCUUGUUGGUGAGGUAAAGGCUCACCAAGGCGACGAUCAGUAGCUGGUUUGAGAGAACGACCAGCCACACUGGAACUGAGACACGGUCCAGACUCCUACGGGAGGCAGCAGUGGGGAAUUUUGGACAAUGGGGGCAACCCUGAUCCAGCCAUUCCGCGUGAGUGAAGAAGGCCUUCGGGUUGUAAAGCUCUUUCGCAAGGGAAGAAAACUUAUGAUCGAAUAAAUCAUGAGGUUGACGGUACCUUGAUAAGAAGCACCGGCUAACUACGUGCC